rnacentral:rRNA from 1 species
AAGUAAUAACGCCGAAAGGGGUACGUAAUACCGGAUAUCUUGCUUUUCAUAAGUUAUGCAAGCAAAGUGGCCUCUGCAUAUGCUACUGCAUGAAGAGGGGUCUGCGUACCAUUAGCUAGUAGGUGGGGUAAUGGCCUACCUAGGCGACGAUGGUUAGCGGGUCUGAGAGGAUGAUCCGCCACACUGGCACUGGAACACGGGCCAGACUCCUACGGGAGGCAGCAGUGAGGAAUAUUGCGCAAUGGGGGAAACCCUGACGCAGCGACGCCGCGUGAGUGAAGGAAGGCCUUCGGGUCGUAAAGCUCUGUCAAGAGGAAAGAAGUGUACAAUGGCUAAUACCUGUUGUAUUUGACGGUACCUCUAAAGGAAGCACCGGCUAACUCCGUGCCAGCAGCCGC